rnacentral:rRNA from 1 species
GACGAACGUUGGCGGCGUGCUUAAUACAUGCAAGUCAACUGAAGCAGUGGUAGCAAUAUCGCUGUGGAGGUGGCGCACGGGUGAGUAACACGUAGGUAAUCUGCCUUCAGGUCGGGCAUAACUCCGAGAAACCGGGGCUAAUAGCAGAUGAUGCAGCGGCUCGACAUCGAGACAGUGGGUAAAGCUAUGGCGCCGGAAGAUGAGCCUGCGUCUGAUUAGCUAGUUGGCGGGGUAACGGCCCACCAAGGCAGCGAUCAGUAGCUGGUCUGAGAGGAUGAUCAGCCAGACUGGAAGUGCGACCAGGCUCAGACUCCUACGCGACGCAGACGUCAGGAAUAUGGAUCAAUGGGAGAAAUUGUGAAGUAGCAACGCCGCGUGAGGAGCGAAGGGCUGUUGGUUGUAAACCUCUGUAGGUAGAGAAACAAAUCCCCAUCUUAGGGACAUGAUGGUACCUGAAAAGUAAGCCCCGGCUAACUACGUG